rnacentral:rRNA from 1 species
AUACGGAGGGUGCGAGCGUUAAUCGGAAUUACUGGGCGUAAAGCUUACGUAGGCGGUUGGUUAAGUUAGAUGUGAAAGCCCCGGGCUUAACCUGGGAACUGCAUUUAAAACUGGCGAACUAGAGUUGAGUAGAGGGGAGUGGAAUUUCAGGUGUAGCGGUGAAAUGCGUAGAGAUCUGAAGGAACACCAGUGGCGAAGGCGACUCCCUGGACUCGAACUGACGCUGAGGUACGAAAGCGUGGGUAGCAAACGGGAUUAGAUACCCUAGUAGUCC